rnacentral:lncRNA from 1 species
GUGCGUCAGGAUUCUGCCAGAGAGAAUCGGUUAUAUGGUCUCUUACCAAGUAUGCACCAGGAUAUCAGAUACUGGAAUUCUGUUGAAGGGAAUUAUCAAUGCUUUAUAAGAUGUGUCUCAGAAAAGGAAGGAAACACACAGUCUAGAAGAGAGAAACUGAAACAUAUCUUCCUGUAGCUCGGUCCUGACCAAAAAACACCCAUGAGUCAUGGUUUCCAAAGCAAGGAGCUAAGUGAUGCUUUGGUGUAUCCACCUGACAGCAAUAUUUGGCUAGAGACAAAAUAAUUUUUACUGAGGUG